ensembl:lncRNA
AGCGUGGGGAUUGCACACAGCCCCAGGUUUCCUCCAGGUGAUGCUCGUAAUCCCAAGCCUCCCAGAGGCAUUUGUCUGCAGAGCCCCUUCUCCUUCUGCUUUGUAGGGCAAGGGCUCAUCAGUGUGUUCGGGUUCAUCUUGGACAUCGGGCUGGCCUUGCUGAUCCUGAUCAUUUCUGGCUACGCCGUUUUCCUUUGCUACCAGCAGGGCUGGUGCUGGUGCCGUGAGUAUGGGCAGAGCAGGGGACAAGCAGCUGCAGGGCAGGGAGGGGACAAAGGAGGGGUGUGGAGAGCACGAAUGGCAUUUGCUGGUCCCCAAAAUCUGCAUGCAGGGUGGCUGGAGGGUGCAUAGGGGGAAUGCACAGAGAUGUCCCGGUGUGGCUGGUCAUCCAGGGGGUUGUCCUGUCCCUUCCCUGUGCCACCUCACAGACCUCUAUAGGCACUGCAGUGCCCUCUGAUGGCCUCUCCUUCCCUCCUCCUCCUCCCAGGCCCUGACUUCAUCUUCAACCUCUACCAUGGCCGGCUGAGGUCGGUAGCAGUGGAGCUGGCACCUCCAUUCAGCAUCAGUGCCUCUGUGAGCCAGGCAGGGAACGGCUACGUGCGCUUCCAUGAGCAGGGGCUGUGAGCAGCAGGGCAUGGUCCUGCUCCUUGUGUGUGGGGUCCCAGCCUCAUGGAGAUUCUGCAGAGCCUGGAGCAGCAUGCAUGGGGCCUUCCCAUGGUGAGUCCCAAGGAUUUUCCUCUGAAAGUCCUCUCCAAAGCAGUGAGGGAGGAGGGGCUGGAAUGUGACAUGCUCCCUGUGCCUGCAUGGCACUAGCAGCUUCUCCUUGCUGCCUCUUCCAC